GGAAAAGCUCAAAUUUAAAAUCUGGCGGUCUUUGGCUGUCCGAGUUGUAAUCUAGAGAAGUGUUAUCCGCGCUGGACCGUGUACAAGUCUCCUGGAAUGGAGCGUCAUAGAGGGUGAGAAUCCCGUCUUUGACACGGACUGCCAGGGCUUUUGUGAUGCGCUCUCAAAGAGUCGAGUUGUUUGGGAAUGCAGCUCAAAAUGGGUGGUAAAUUCCAUCUAAAGCUAAAUAUUGGCGAGAGACCGAUAGCGAACAAGUACCGUGAGGGAAAGAUGAAAAGAACUUUGGAAAGAGAGUUAAACAGUACGUGAAAUUGCUGAAAGGGAAACGCUUGAAGUCAGUCCCGUUGUCCAGGGAUCAACCUUGCUUUUGCUUGGCGCACUUUCUGGUUGACGGGUCAGCAUCAAUUUUGACUAUUGGAAAAAGAUUAGGGGAAUGUGGCAUCCUCGGAUGUGUUAUAGCCCUUGGUUGUAUACAAUGGUUGGGAUUGAGGAACUCAGCACGCCGCAAGGCCGGGUUUUUUUUACCACGUACGUGCUUAGGAUGCUGGCAUAAUGGCUUUAAUCGACCCGUCUUGAAACACGGACCAAGGAGUCUAACAUGCCUGCGAGUGUUUGGGUGGAAAACCCGAGCGCGUAAUGAAAGUGAAAGUUGAGAUCCCUGUCGUGGGGAGCAUCGACGCCCGGACCAGACCUUUUGUGACGGUUCCGCGGUAGAGCAUGUAUGUUGGGACCCGAAAGAUGGUGAACUAUGCCUGAAUAGGGUGAAGCCAGAGGAAACUCUGGUGGAGGCUCGUAGCGAUUCUGACGUGCAAAUCGAUCGUC
rnacentral:rRNA from 1 species